AGACUAGAGCAAUAUCUGGUAAGUAUGCUUUUGACAUCAAAGAUUGCUGAACUAGUUUAUUAUAGAGGUAGUUUCUAGUUUUUUUUUAUAAUAAAAUUUUGUAAAAAAAGUUAAAUGGACAAUAAGGUAGGACACAGGAUGAAAGUUACACCACUUCUUAGUGUAUACUCAUUUGCAAAAUAUGAUGAAGUGCAAAUCUUAUCA
rnacentral:misc_RNA from 1 species